AUUACUAGAGAAUAAAAUAUAAGAGUGUUCAGAGGUGAAUCUUCAUAAAAUGCCUUUUCCCCUCAACCAACCUUUUCUCUUUGGAAUUUUGUGCAUUGCUUUGGUCCUGACUUCAGGAUCAGUGACAUGUUUGGGUGGGGAUCAAUCGGGGAUAAUCUGUAUAGGAGAUUGCUCACCAACUUGCAGCGGUGACUGUGUUGGCCGUGGUUAUAAGAACGGAGGCUCAUGUUUCUUAUUUUUCUCAUCUUUUAUGUGUUGUUGUAACGAAAAUUGACUACUUUUUACCCCUCUCCGAAGCAUGAAAAAAAUAAAACAUUGGUUGCAUACCAAUUGGCUACCAAGAAUAAUGCAUUUAUCCAUGGCUAUGAGAAUGGAUGUGCUUCUAUGGGUUUUAAUUUGCUGUAUUUUGUUAUAAGAAUUCACUACUUCGUACCCCCUC